UUCAUCUCUCACCCUCUGCCCCUGUCCGGGGCCCCCUUCUGCAGCCCUCGCCUGUCAGCCGGUGUUGAUGCUCACCAGGCGCCAGGCUGCAGAGACUCCAACUUGUCACACCAGGGUGCACACCCUGUCACUCCUUAUCCCUAUAAGCUGGAUAGAGACAAGCAAGCAUUUUCUUAAAGCCUUUACAGAGGAAAUGUGGGGUGGGCUGACCUCUUGACUGUCUCCCCAUCACCUUGUGGUCCCCAUCAUGAGCUGGCGUGAAUGCUGCUACCCCCUCCCUGUGUCAUUAAGCCAGCCUGGUUACAGCUCUCAGCUUGCUGCAGACCUGACUGCAACUAAGGAGCCUUCAUCUGAGUCAGCAAUGAAGGAGCCGUCCCAGAAAUUGAUGCCGGUUCCCUUCGGACACCAGAG
rnacentral:lncRNA from 1 species